ensembl:lncRNA
ACUGUUGUUGUUUUGCCUUUAGCCACCCUUAUACAAUCUUGGACACACCCCUGCUUUGGAUCCUGGUGUGUAUCAGAAACAUGCAUUUCUUUCACUUCAGAAGAUGAAUACAGAUGCUGACGUUGUUUCGGCUUGGAUUAAUUGAUAGUUUUUUAAAAUAACCAUUUUUUUUGUUCACAGCACAGUUAAGCAGAUUGAGCCAAAAAACGUCCAGAAGAAAAUGGGGGGAGGAAGUUCCAGUCAGAGAGCAAUGGAACUGGAUAGAAGAGCGAUGGAACUGGAUAGAAGAGCAAUGGAACUGGAUAGAAGAGAGAUGGAACCGAAGACAAGAGCUCCUACGUGUUGUGGUUGCUGCUUCAUUCAAAUAGCAUCAGAGAAAAGAGAUGAAUCUACUAACAUAAUCAAUUCACAAGUUAGUACUGAAAACACAUCACAUACUGAAGGUAGGUUAAGUUUGACUUUCAAGUCAGGCAUUCUGUAACCUAUCAGACCCUCACACUCACCAGACUUCUGAUCACUGUAAUGUCUGUUUUGGGUUUUGUUUCAUGUUCAUGUUUUCAUGUCUUUUAUUUUGUUAUUGUUUGAUUUUGCUGUUUGUGUCAUGCUUCCCUUGCCCUCAUGUAUCUCUGCUUUGUGUAUGUGUCAUGUUCUCAUUGGUUAUUGUCUGGUCAUGUGAUUAUCAGUUGUGUUUGUUCUCAUUGGUUGCUUUAGUCAUGUGUCUUGUUCCCAUUGGUUUGCUCUUGUCAUGUGACCCUCAUUGUUUGUAUAAGUAGUCAUGUUUUUGUCAUUAGCGCUUGUCGUGUAUUAACGUUGUAACCUGCUAUCGUCAAGUCAAGUCAAGUCAAGUCAAGUCUUUGUUUACUGUUUGGAUUAUAUUUGGAUUUUGGAUUGUACCAUUGUGAAUAAAACUGCACUUGGGUUCAUCGCUACGCUUGCCUUCAGUGGACAGAAUACACGACCCUAAAAAUGAACCCAGCAGUUGUUCGUCUCCUGCGUCUUAGCCAAGGAAACCAGGCCAUUGAGGACUAUGUGGAGGACUUUUGUGGUUUGUGUCAUCUGGUGGAUUUUAAUGAUGUGGCCCUUAAGGACAUAUUUCGGGUGGGUCUUAAUGAGCCCAUUUGCUCUCAGCUUCCUGGGGGAAAAAUUCACUGGUCCCUGGAGGAAUAUAUUGACCAUGCUCUUUUCCUGGCUGGUUCAUCAUUUACUGUGGGGAUUGCUGAUGAGGAACACAGCUAUCCCACAGUACCCGCCACAUCAGAACUUUUCCACGUCCCAACCGUCAUGUCAGGACCUGCUCACGUCAUGCCUGCCAAGCCAGCACCUGUUCACGUCAUGCCUGCUACGCCAGAGCCUACUCACAUCUUAAUAUGUUGUGUUAUUCUAUUAUAUAUAUAAUGUUAAUUACUCAAUAUGGUAUUAUCUUGUUUAAACUAUUAUGUAUGACUAUGAAAGUAAUCAAUAUACUGAUCAAUAUGCUGAAUUAUUCCCAAAUACUCUUUGGCUGUAUAAAGGCCCUCCCAUUGGGUAGUACUGCUAGUUUUCCAUUGAACUGCACCUGUUAACUGAAGUAACACUAUGACUUUGGGUGAGUUCCAGAAGUUGACAGAUUUGAUGAAUGUGUUCUGGGAUCACUGCCUACCAGUAGUAGGUGGCAAAAUGAAAGUUUUCUUAAAAAUGGUUGAUAAGGCCAAGUUUCACCAAUAAAAAAUGGACCAGCUGGGCAAGUAAUAAAUUGUGGAAAACCAGACAUAGCCAUUGGCAUAGCCAAUAAAAAAACGGAACUACCAAUUAUGGUAAGAAAGAGAGGUAGAAAUAUGGGUGCCCGGACAGACAAAAACUGUGUUCAAUAAAGUCUAAUUUUGGCAUCUGGAACUCCGUUUCUUGAGUUUUAUUUUAUGACUUUGAGAAGACCAUUGUUUGUUCCACAUCGCACCCUGGCACUAACAACACACCCCCGAAGCUGAUCAACCUUCAUCACCAGCAUUAAAGCACCCCAGUCAUUGCCUUGUUCGAUGCGACAGACCUCUUACAUCCUGUUGACCACAAUUGCUACGCCAGUUACCUUGUUCAAGUUUAUGUCAGUUAUCUUAAACCCUGCAGGUAUUCCAACCUGUCUUCCAAGUGUCCUCUGUCUCAACUUGUUUGUUUGUGUGCUCAACCGGCUCUAUAAGACAAAGACUGAAAUUUAUCCAAUUUUUUUUACUCUCACCAUUUAGCUCCACAUUUGUCAUUUACCUGUUUAUCAAUUGUGUUCCUGCUAAAACAUCUAAUAAACCAACCUGUUUAAGUUGACCUCAUUUCUGGUCAUUUCGGUCUGCGUCUGUACCUGACAGUAUGCAAUGUUUUUCUAAAACACUUUUUGUUAUAGCCUACUGGUUUAAUCUGGUUUCUCCAUCUGAUUAGAUAAAAAAAGUAUUUAGUUUAUCAUCAAAGUUUUGGAAAUAAAAUGUUUUGAAGGCCAACUUGUCAGCGGUUCAGACUUGUUAGGGUAGCAGAGAAUUAAGAUCAGUGUAAGGCUGAGAUACUUAUUCAAACAAGUGUUUGAUUAGAUAAUUUAUAUAUUAAUAUAGCUUUAAAAAAGUUGCUAUUUGUAGCUUCCAUGCAAUGAC